CAGACAGUAAAAGGGAGUAUAAAACACCUUAAGUCUUUAACCAAUUAGGCAGGAAUUAUCAGAUAUGCUCAUUUUUUUUAUUCUGAAAUGAAUUGCUUCUUAAAAUAUAAACUAUUCAAGGAGAGAUUCAAUGGAUCAGGAAGAUAACUCUUUUGCCUUCUUUACUUUCAAAUUACAACUUUGUAAAUAUUACUAAUAACUUCUUUUUUAAAGUUAUAUUAAAUUUAAAGUUAGUAUUAACACUGACCUACUUGUCUGGGAGCCCUUUGAACUACUUUACUCAUAUUUAAAAUGUUUCAUUGACCCUUUUUUCCUUUUUUUUCCCUGAAUUUUUAUCUCCAAUUUUCCAUCAUCUCUUCCCUUCCCAAAAUAAAAGCCCUGCCUGGUAACAAAUAAGUAUAGGCAGGCAAAACAAAUUCAUAUAUGAGUCAUUUUUGAAAAUAUAUACCUGAUGUAUGUAUGGUGGUAUGGUAUCCACCUUUCAGCCAAGAAGUGGGAAAAAUGCUUUUAUAUUAGUCUUCUGAAAUUGGGACCAGAUAUAACACGGGUCAGUUCUUAAGAACUUGAAAGCUGAUUUCCUUUAUGUUACUACAGUCAUUUUAUAAAAACAGUUUUCCAGCUUUACUUUGCACUGGCUACAGUUUCUCUGAAUCCAUCCCUUUCAUUCUAUUAUGUUCAUAUAAUAAUUUGUAGAUUUAUUCUCCAAUUGAUAGGCAAUCACAUUGUUUCUAGGUUUCUUAAUAAAAGGUAGAGCUACAAACAUUUUUGUACAUAAGGAUAUUUUUCCCUGUCUUUAACCUCUUGGGAAUGUGUACCAAGUAGUAGUAUUGCUGAGUCUAAGAGUAUCUCUGUUUUUAGACACUGUUUUUAGCCUUUAAUUUUACUUAUGCUUUAAGUGAAUAUAAAUAGGAAAUAUCAAGAGAUUAAUGGUGAGGUUUCUAAAAUCUCUCAAUAUUAAUAGAAAUUACUCAAAUUACAUUUUUUCCACAUGCAGUAAAAAAGCACUUGAGAAAAGUAAAGACAAAAGAGGACAAUAAAACAAAACAGUAUCAGAAGCUAAAGAAGAAUUUGUAAAAAAAACUAAAAACAUUUUGUGCCUUCCUCCUGCCUCCUCAAAAUAGGUUUAAACUAGCAUCUUAAGCCAUAUACACAGUACAAGUUAUCACUCACAAUUAUGGUUAUAGAAAGAAUUUUUAACUGAAUGGGACUAGAAGAAAUAAUUUCAAUGGAACUGAAAAGCAUGAAAAAUCUGACUGAGGAAAAACAAACCUCUGCAUCAUAUGUUUGACAGCAAUUUGAUAUCUAAUAUAUAAACAUAAAUAUAAAAGAACAAAAACCAUUCCUCAACAGAUAAGUGGUCAAAGAAUAUGAAUACUUCUUAAAAGAACUUCCAACUAUUAACAAUUAUGUUAGAAAUAUUGUUCCAAUUCACUAAUAAAAGAAAUGCAAAUCAAAAUAACUUCAAAUUUUUACUUCACCCCUAGGAAGCCGACAAAGAUGAACAAAGAUGAAAUUGGAGUGGCUGUAAGAAACACCAAUGCAAUGAACUGAUCCCUUUGGCAAGAAAGAAGGAGGAACUGACGAAGCAAAAAAGACAAUACAAAAUAUUUCACCUUCACAUAAAGAUUAUUGAUUUCUUCUUAUCUGAAUAACUGAUCAAAAGAUCAUGAUAAGAAAAUGGAAUUAUAAUUGGUUUAGUUCAAUAUUCUGCACAAAUUAUCUGUGUAAUCAUUCUGACAUUUUAAUAAAAAACUGACUUAUAUUUAAACUGGAAAAUGCCAUUUGUUAGAACAGAGAAUAAAGCCUGAUUUGAGACUUUAAAAAAGUAAUCCUUAUUAUAUAAUGCUAAUACUUUUAUUGUGUAAAAAAAAGGUUUUUAGAAGUCCAAAUCCAGUUCAAGAUUUAUUCAGGUAUUUGUACUGAAAAUAAAAUUAAUAAGAAAAAUCUU